GAUGAACGCUGGCGGCGUGCCUAACACAUGCAAGUCGAGCGGCAACGAGCUGUUCUUGCACCCUGUCGGCGAGCGGCGGACGGCUGAGUCACGCGAGUGACCGUGCCUCGACGUGAGGAUUAACUGACCGAACGGGUGGCUAUUCCGGCUAGUUGUCUCCGCAUCAAAGGAUUGAUCCGCUUUGGGCGCGGGUCGCGUCGGGUUACGCGGCUGGUGAGGUUAUUGCUAACCAAGUCGACGACCCGUGGCUGGUCGGGUAGGCGGACCAGCCAGGCUGGAACUGAGACACGGUCCAGAAUGCGACGGGAGGGAGCAGUGAGGAAUAUUCCACAAUGGGCGAAAGCCUGAUGGAGCAACGCCGCGGGCAGGACGAAGGCCUUCGGGUUGUAAACUGCUUUUAUAAGUGAGGAAUAUGACGGUAACGGAUGAAUAAGGAUCGGCUAACUACGUG
rnacentral:rRNA from 1 species